rnacentral:rRNA from 1 species
UACGUAGGGUGCGAGCGUUGUCCGGAAUUAUUGGGCGUAAAGGGCUCGUAGGCGGUUUGUCGCGUCGGGAGUGAAAACUCAGGGCUUAACCCUGAGCCUGCUUCCGAUACGGGCAGACUAGAGGUAUGCAGGGGAGAACGGAAUUCCUGGUGUAGCGGUGAAAUGCGCAGAUAUCAGGAGGAACACCGGUGGCGAAGGCGGUUCUCUGGGCAUUACUGACGCUGAUGCUCGAAAGCUAGGGGAGCAAACAGG